rnacentral:rRNA from 1 species
UACGAAGGGGGCUAGCGUUGCUCGGAAUCACUGGGCGUAAAGGGUGCGUAGGCGGGGCUUUAAGUCAGGGGUGAAAUCCUGGAGCUCAACUCCAGAACUGCCUUUGAUACUGAGGAUCUUGGGUUCGGGAGAGGUGAGUGGAACUGCGAGUGUAGAGGUGAAAUUCGUAGAUAUUCGCAAGAACACCAGUGGCGAAGGCGGCUCACUGGCCCGAUACUGACGCUGAGGCACGAAAGCGUGGGGAGCAAACAGG